rnacentral:rRNA from 1 species
UGCUUAACACAUGCAAGUCGAACGGCAGCACGGUAGAGGGAAACCUUUAUGGGUGGCGAGUGGCGGACGGGUGAGUAAAGCGUAGGAAUCUAGCUUGAAGAGGGGGAUAACUCGGGGAAACUCGAGCUAAUACCGCGUAAGACCGAGAGGUGAAAGAAGGGGACCGUAAGGCCCUUCGCUUUAAGAUGAGCCUACGUCAGAUUAGCUAGUUGGUUAGGUAAAGGCUGACCAAGGCGAAGAUCUGUAGCUGGUCUGAGAGGAUGAUCAGCCACACUGGGACUGAGACACGGCCCAGACUCCUACGGGAGGCAGCAGUGGGGAAUAUUGGACAAUGGGGGCAACCCUGAUCCAGCAAUGCCGCGUGUGUGAAGAAGGCCUGCGGGUUGUAAAGCAC